CACAACAAAAUGUGGAAUAAGUCAAAGUCGAUACCAUUACAGAGUCACAGAGUAUUGCUGAGACAGCUGAGUGUGAUGUUUACCUAUAGUGCAGGGCUACACAGGUAUUUAGAGUUUAAAAUGUUACAAGGAAAUGGAGCUGGAAAAUCUGUUAAGUCGCUUAAUCAUUGAUUAACCUUCCUGAACAUUCUAAAUCCCCCAAUUGUUUUUGCCCAGUGAAUGCUAAAAUGGACAUGGACACUAGCAAACUACACUGGGGACAUCAAGAAUAUAAUCUUCGACAGUAUCAGUUCAAGCACACACGCCCUGGUCCACUUCCUGCUCUGCCAGCAGAAAGCAGUGUUUGAGAGCAAACACGGGAAAGUCCCUACCAGUCACCAUCUCCACUGUAGUCUUCUACAUAAUCAGAAAUGAUAGACGAGAAGGUGAGUCGCACAGUUACGUGAUGUGAAUCUACAACAUCUUACCGACCACUCUGAGGAUGAUAGUUUAGGGACUAUUCCAAACUGGGUCUUUUUGGCAAUCACUCAUACAGUAGGACCACCAAUCAGUCUUCAGGUUAUUUUGGAGUCCAACCCACUGCCAGCAAUCAUCCAAAAAAUAGCGCCACCCGUCCUGCCGUGGCUGUCAGGAGGUCAUAGGCUGGACACACUGACAAUCACAAGCACCUAUGAGGAGCAGCUCUUAAUGGGCUUUCCUUUCAGCAGCAAAGGAAUCCUCUCCAGACACACUCCUCUGGUGCUGCCCAUGUAUAUGAAGGAGGUGCGUAUUGCACUGGCAGAGGGGUUGGAGACAAGAUAUCACCGUUUUCAAUUAGAGUUGAUUGAAAACGGUCACGAAUAAAUGGAGGGGAAGCCAAUCUACAUGUACAUGAGCCUGAAGAUCCAGGGUGAUGAAAUCAACCUCUACCAGCACCUUGACUUUGAGACAACGAGCCUCCUACUUUACAGAGAAAAGCAGCAAGACCCCCACCUCUACCCCCUAAACCACAAUAUUUACAAAUAGCUAGACACAAACUUCCACCCCUUUCUCCAUCAUUGGAGAACAAUUCCCAGUUCUACUCUGGCGGCUCAUGGCACCCACUCUUCUGCUCCUUAGCAGAGGUGCCCUCUAAUCUACGGGUCCUGAGUGUGGCACUGGUAUGCUCCAGCCUGCGACUGCUCAACUUGGGCUAGUGCUGCCAGGCCUUUGAGAGGGAGAAGAUUGAUGGGACGUGUUAAACACAGUGGAGCCCAGCAUGAUGAGGAAGACCCUGGGUAUGGAGUAUCUGCAUGUGGGCAAGCUGCUCUGCUUCCAACAUGGUUGGAGGCCCUUACUUGGGUCCUUUGGAGCUGAGCAGGUUGGGUAGUAACGGAUUACCUGUAAUGGGGAUAUGCAAUCAGAUUAUAAAAAUUACAGGGGCAAUCUGGGAACCAAAAGGCAAUAAAGCGGUCAUCCUGCCACUUUUUUGGUAACCAGCUGCAAUUUUUGGUAGCCAGCUGCAUACAUAAAAGGACAUUUUGGAAAAAUGUAUUGCAUAUUUGAUGUUAGGCUAAGUACCAUUUACAUUAGUAAUGGUUGAUGUGUCAUUCAAAAUAAAGGCUACUUUUGGAGUAA